rnacentral:rRNA from 1 species
CCCGUCACACCAUGGGAGUCAGUUGCUCUAGAAGUCGGUGCGCCAACCUCGUGAGGCAGCCGCCUAAAGAGUGACUGGUGACUGGGGUG